rfam:Triticum aestivum genome assembly, contig: Triticum_aestivum_CS42_TGACv1_scaffold_342420_4DL
CUAAUACUCCCUUCGUCCCGAAUUACUUGUCGUAGAAAUGGAUGUGUCUAGAACUAAAAAUACGUCUAGAUACAUCCAUUUCUGCGACAAGUAAUUUGGGGCGGAGGGAGUACAAU